GACGAACGCUGGCGGCGUGCCUAAUACAUGCAAGUAGAACGCAGUUGCGAACGGGUGAGUAACGCGUAGGUAACUGCCUCAUAGCGGGGGAUAACUAUUGGAAACGAUAGCUAAUACCGCAUACUGUGAGAUGGACCUGCGUUGUAUUAGCUAGUUGGUGAGGUAAAGGCUCACCAAGGCGACGAUCCAUAGCCGACCUGAGAGGGUGAUCGGCCACAGCGUGACAUGGGAACGGGCCAGACUGCGAUGGAAGGCAGCAGUGGGGACUCGAGGGUAAUGGACGGAAGUCUGACCGAGCAACGCCGGGUGAGGGAAGAAGGUUUUCGGAUCGUAAAGCUCUGUUGUUAGAGAAGCGGUAACUAAUUAGAAAGGCACGGCUAACUACGUGCCAGCAGCCGCGGUAAUUC
rnacentral:rRNA from 1 species